AAAAGGGUAAGCUAAUACAAGCUGUUGGGCUCAUAACCCAGAAAUAGAUAUACUCUCCCUUCUA
rnacentral:tRNA from 1 species